rnacentral:rRNA from 1 species
UACGUAGGGAGCAAGCGUUGUCCGGAAUCAUUGGGCGUAAAGCGCGCGUAGGUGGCUUCAUAAGUCCGUUGUGAAAGUCAAAGGCUCAACCUUUGAAAGCCGAUGGAUACUGUGGAGCUAGAGUACGGAAGAGGCGAGUGGAAUUCCUGGUGUAGCGGUGGAAUGCGCAGAUAUCAGGAGGAACACCGAUGGCGAAGGCAGGUCUCUGGGCCAUAACUGACGCUGAGAAGCGAAAGCAUGGGGAGCGAACAGG